CUUUCUGUUAUGAUAAUAAAACAAGACAAAAUAUUAGUAAGGAAACAGAGGACUUGAAGGCAGUAUAAAACAAUUAUUCCAAGUAGAAGUAUAGAGAACACUCUUCAAUAAGAUCAGGAUACACACCCUUCUCAAUAGCUCAUAGGAGAAUGUUGAUUCUCCUUAAUAGAGCACCUGUUAGGCCAAAAGAAAAGUCUUAACACAUUUUUUAAAACUGAAAUUUUAUGGAUUACUUUCUCUGACCAAAAUGGAAUGAGUAUUAAUAGAAGAAACUGAAAAAUUCACAAAUAUACAGAAAUUAAGCAACACACCCUUCAGCAUGCUCUUAUUGAAAGGUUCAAAUAAUUAAUAUUGUGAAGAUUUUCAUACUGCUCGAUGUAAUCUGCAGAUUUAAUGCAAUGCUUUUCAAAUUUCUCAUUGCACUUUUGAAUAGAAACAGCAACCCCAAAAGUAUAUGGAAUCUCAAGAGACAAUAAAAUACUCAAGAAUCUUCAAAAAAGGACACAAUAUUGGUGGCAUUACAGUUCCUUAAAGUACAUUAGAGGCCAGGUGCAGUGGCUCACACCUGUAAUCCAAGCACUUUAGGAGGCCAAGGCAGGCAGAUCAUGAGGUAACGAGUUGAAGACCAGCCUGACCAACAUGGUGAAACCCCGUCUCUACUAAAAAUACAAAAAUUAGCUGGGUGUGGUGGCGCGCACCUGUAAUCCCAGCUACUCAGGAGGCUGAGGCAGGAGAAUCACUUGAACCUGGGAGGCAGAGGUUGCAGUAAGCCAAGAUUGUGUGCCAUUGUACUCUUGUACUCUAGCCUGGGUGACAGCUAUCUCAAAAAAUAAAAGCACGUUGCAAAGCUACAGAAUUAAAACAAGGUAGUAGGAGUAUCAAAGUGAAAAAGUAGACUAAUCACAUGCUACUGCACUCCAGUCUGGGUGACAUCCAGACCCUGUCUCAAAAGAAGGAAAAGAAAAACAUUCAGGCAAGGUUUUAUGAAGG
rnacentral:lncRNA from 1 species